UACGGAGGGCGCUAGCGUUGUUCGGAAUUACUGGGCGUAAAGCGCACGUAGGCGGCGAUUCAAGUCAGAGGUGAAAGCCCGGGGCUCAACCCCGGAACUGCCUUUGAAACUAGAUUGCUAGAAUCUUGGAGAGGCGAGUGGAAUUCCGAGUGUAGAGGUGAAAUUCGUAGAUAUUCGGAAGAACACCAGUGGCGAAGGCGACUCGCUGGACAAGUAUUGACGCUGAGGUGCGAAAGCGUGGGGAGCAAACAGG
rnacentral:rRNA from 1 species